rnacentral:rRNA from 1 species
AGACCACCAGCUAAGGUCCCAAAAUAUAUGUUAAGUGGAAAAGGAUGUGGCGUUGCCCAGACAACUAGGAUGUUGGCUUAGAAGCAGCCAUCAUUUAAAGAGUGCGUAAUAGCUCACUAGUCGAGUGACACUGCGCCGAAAAUGUACCGGGGCUAAACAUAUUACCGAAGCUGUGGAUUGUCCUUUGGACAAUGGUAGGAGAGCGUUCUAAGGGCGUUGAAGCAUGAUCGUAAGGACAUGUGGAGCGCUUAGAAGUGAGAAUGCCGGUGUGAGUAGCGAAAGACGGGUGAGAAUCCCGUCCACCGAUUGACUAAGGUUUCCAGAGGAAGGCUCGUCCGCUCUGGGUUAGUCGGGUCCUAAGCUGAGGCCGACAGGCGUAGGCGAUGGAUAACAGGUUGAUAUUCCUGUACCACCUAUAAUCGUUUUAAUCGAUGGGGGGACGCAGUAGGAUAGGCGAAGCGUGCGAUUGGAUUGCACGUCUAAGCAGUAAGGCUGAGUAUUAGGCAAAUCCGGUACUCGUUAAGGCUGAGCUGUGAUGGGGAGAAGACAUUGUGUCUUCGAGUCGUUGAUUUCACACUGCCGAGAAAAGCCUCUAGAUAGAAAAUAGGUGCCCGUACCGCAAACCGACACAGGUAGUCAAGAUGAGAAUUCUAAGGUGAGCGAGCGAACUCUCGUUAAGGAACUCGGCAAAAUGACCCCGUAACUUCGGGAGA